rnacentral:rRNA from 1 species
UACGAAGGGGGCUAGCGUUGCUCGGAAUUACUGGGCGUAAAGGGCGCGUAGGCUGGCCGACCAAGUCAGGCCGUGAAAUUCCCGGGCUCAACCUGGGGCUGCGCUUGAGACUGGUUGCUAGAGGCCGAGAGAGGGUGGUGGAAUUCCCAGUGUAGAGGUGAAAAUUCGUAGAUAUUGGGAAGAACACCGGUGGCGAAGGCGGCCACCUGGCUCGGUACUGACGCUGAGGCGCGAAAGCGUGGGGAGCAAACAGGG